AUUGAACGCUGGCGGAAUGCUUUACACAUGCAAGUCGAACGGCAGCACGGACUUCGGUCUGGUGGCGAGUGGCGAACGGGUGAGUAAUGUAUCGGAACGUGCCCAGUCGUGGGGGAUAACGUAGUGAAAAUUACGCUAAUACCGCAUACGAUCUAUGGAUGAAAGCGGGGGAUCGCAAGACCUCGCGCGAUUGGAGCGGCCGAUAUCAGAUUAGGUAGUUGGUGGGGUAAAGGCCCACCAAGCCAACGAUCUGUAGCUGGUCUGAGAGGACGACCAGACACACUGGAUCUGGGACACGGUCCAGACUCCUACUGGAGGCAGCAGGGGGAAACUUUGGACAAUGGGCGAAAGCCUGAUCCAGCCAUUCCGCGUGCAGGAUGAAGGCCCUCGGGUUGUAAACUGCUUUUGUACGGAACGAAAAGGUUUCUACUAAUACUAGGAGCUCAUGACGGUACUGUAAGAAUAAGCACCGGCUAACUACGUGCCAGCCGCCGCCGUAA
rnacentral:rRNA from 1 species